rnacentral:rRNA from 1 species
GACGUAGGGCGCGAGCGUUGUCCGGAUUUAUUGGGUGUAAAGAGCUCGUAGGCGGCUUGUCGCGUCGACUGUGAAAACCCGAGGCUCAACUUCGGGCUUGCAGUCGAUACGGGCAGGCUAGAGUUCGGUAGGGGAGACUGGAAUUCCUGGUGUAGCGGUGAAAUGCGCAGAUAUCAGGAGGAACACCGAUGGCGAAGGCAGGUCUCUGGGCCGAUACUGACGCUGAGGAGCGAAAGCGUGGGGAGCGAACAGG